GGGUCAUUAGGUUGGUCGUGCCACCGGUACGUACUGGUCUCACUGAUUCCUCCUUCCUGAAGAACCGUAAUGCCAUUAAUUUGGUGUUGCGGGGAAACAGGACUGUUACUUUGAAAAAAUUAGAGUGUUUAAAGCAAGCUAACGCUUGGAUACAUUAGCAUGGAAUAAUGAAAUAGGACGAUCGAUCCUAUUUUGUUGGUUUCUAGGAUUGACGUA
rnacentral:rRNA from 1 species